rnacentral:tRNA from 1 species
ACCUGACAGGCUCAGUCGGAAGAGCAUGUGACUCUUGAUCUCAGGGUCAUGGGUUGGAGCCCCAUGUUGGGUG